rnacentral:misc_RNA from 1 species
ACUACUAUUCUUGGGGUAUGUUAUGAGUGCUGAAGGCAUACAAGUAGAUGAGACAAAGGUCAAAGCUAUCAAAGAGUAGCCAACUCCAACUAUUGUUUCGGAGGUUCGGAGCUUCCAUGCGUUAGCCACGUUCUAUCGGCUGUUCAUCAAAGAUUUCAGCACUAUAACGGCGCCAAUAACUAAUUGCCUAAAGAAGGGGAGGUUCCAAUGGGGCAAGGAGGCCACAAAUAAGCUUUGCAAUUCUCAAGGAAAAG